rnacentral:rRNA from 1 species
GAUGAACGCUGGCGGCGUGCCUAAUACAUGCAAGUCGAGCGAACAGACGAGGAGCUUGCUCCUCUGACGUUAGCGGCGGACGGGUGAGUAACACGUGGAUAACCUCCCUAUAAGACUGGGAUAACUUCGGGAAACCGGCGCUAAUACCGGAUAAUAUAUUGAACCGCAUGGUUCAAUAGUGAAAGACGGUUUUGCUGUAACUUAUAGAUGCAUCCGCGCCGCUUUAGCUAGUUGGUAAGGUAACGGCUUAUCAAGGCAACGAUGCGUAGCCGACCUGAGAGGGUGAUCGGCCACACUGGAACUGAGACACGGUCCAGACUCCUACGGGAGGCAGCAGUAGGGAAUCUUCCGCAAUGGGCGAAAGCCUGACGGAGCAACGCCGCGUGAGUGAUGAAGGUCUUCGGAUCGUAAAACUCUGUUAUUAGGGAAGAACAAAUGUGUAAGUAACUAUGCACGUCUUGACGGUACCUAAUCAGAAAGCCACGGCUAACUACGUG